GAGUGGUGCUUCCAGUUCAGAGAGCACCAUCUGGAAUCCCAGUCUGAGGUUACAAUUAGAACUCCUGGCCCCAGAUUCAACUUUGCAAGCAAG
rfam:Cricetulus griseus cell line CHO-K1, whole genome shotgun sequence.